AUGUCGAAGGGACCUGCAGUUGGUAUUUAUCUUGGCACCACCUAUUCUUGUGUGGGUGUUUUCCAGGACAGAAAAAUAGAGAUAAUUGCCAAUGAUCAGGAAAACCGAACCACUCCAAGCUAUGUCGCUGGACACUGAAUGAUUGACUGGUGAUGCCACAAAGAAUCAAGUUGCAAUGAACCCCAUCAACACACCAAACGUUUGUGAUUCCAAACAUCUGAUUGGACGCAGAUUUGAUGAUGCUGUUGUCCAGUCUGAUAUGAAGCAUUGGCCCUUCAUGGUGUUGAAUGAUGCUGGCAGUCCCAAGGCCCAAGUAGAAUACAAGGGAGAGACCAAAAGCUUCUAUCCAGAGGAGGUACCCUCUAUGGUUCUGACAAAGAUGAAGGAAAUUGCGGAAGUCAACCUUGGGAAGACUGUUACCAAUGCUGUUACUUUAAUGACUUUCAGUGUCAGGCUACCGAAGAUGCUGGAACUAUUGCUGGUCUCAAUGUACUUAGAAUUAUUAAUGAGCCAACUGCAGCUGCUAUUGCUUAUGGCUUAGACAAAAAGGUUGGAAUGGAAAGAAACGUGUUGAUCUUUGACCUGGGAGGUGACACUUUCGAUGUGUCAAUCCUCACUACUAAGGAUGGAAUCUUUGAGGUUAAAUCUACAGCCAGAGACACCCACUAGUGUGGAGAAGAUUUUGACAACCGAAUGGUCAACCAUUUUAUUGCUGAGUUCAAGCGCAAGCAUAAGGACAUCAGUAAGAAUAAGAGAGCUGUAAGAUUCCUCCAUUCUGCUUGUGAAUGAGCUAAGCAUACUCUCUCUUCCAGCACCCUGGCCAGUAUUGAGAUCAAUUCUCUCUAUGAAGGAAUCAACUUCUAUACCUCCAUUACCCAUGCCUGAUUUGAAGAAAAGAAUGUUGACCUGUUGCAUGGCAUCCUGGACCCCAUAGAGAAAGUCCUUCUAGAUGCCAAACUAGACAAGUCACAGAUUCAUGCCAUUGUCCUGGUUGGUGGUUCUACUUGUAUCCCCAAGUUUCAGAAGCUUCUCCAAGACUUCUUCAAUGGAAAAGAACUGAAUAAGAGCAUCAACCCUGAUGAAGCCAUUGCUUAUGGUGCAGCUGUCCAGGCAGCCAACCUGUCUGGAGACAAGUCUGCAAAUGUUCAAGAUUUGCUGGUCUUGGAUGUCACUCCUCUUUACCUUGGUAUUGAAGCUGCUGGUGGAGUCAUGACUAUCCUUAUCAAGCACAAUACUACCAUUCCUACCAAGCAGACACAGACCUUCACUACCUAUUCUGACAACCAGCCUGGUGUGCUUAUUCAGUUUUAUGAAGGUGAGUGUGCCAUGACCAAGGAUAACAACUGCUUGGCAAGUUUGAACUCAUAGGCAUACCUCCUGCACCCCGAGGUGUUCCUCAAAUUGAAGUCACUUUUGACAUUGAUGCUAAUGGUAUCCUCAGUGUCUCUGCUGUGGACAAGAGUACAGGAAAAGAGAACAAGAUUACUAUCACUAAUGACAAGCACCGUUUGAGCAAGGAAGACAUUGAACGUAUGGUCCAGGAAGCUGAGAGGUACAAAGUUGAAGAUGAGAAGCAGAGGAACAAAGUGUCAUCCAAGCAUUCACUUGAAACUUCAGGGCAAGACUAAUGAUGAUGACAAACAGCAGAUUCUGGACAAGUGUAAUGAAAUUAUCAACCGGCUCGGUAAGAAUCAGGCUGACGAGAAGGAAGAAUCUGAACAUCAGCAGAAAGAGCUGGAGAAAGUCUGCAACCCCAUCAACACCAAGCUGAUUUGA